AACGAACGCUGGCGGCAUGCCUAACACAUGCAAGUCGAACGAGACCUUCGGGUCUAGUGGCGCACGGGUGCGUAACGCGUGGGAACCUGCCCUUAGGUUCGGAAUAACUCCCCGAAAGGGGUGCUAAUACCGGAUAAUGUCUUCGGACCAAAGAUUUAUCGCCUUUGGAUGGGCCCGCGUUGGAUUAGCUAGUUGGUAGGGUAAAAGCCUACCAAGGCGACGAUCCAUAGCUGGUCUGAGAGGAUGAUCAGCCACACUGGGACUGAGACACGGCCCAGACUCCUACGGGAGGCAGCAGUGGGGAAUAUUGGACAAGGGGCGAAAGCCUGAUCCAGCAAUGCCGCGUGAGUGAUGAAGGCCUUAGGGUUGUAAAGCUCUUUUACCCGGGAUGAUAAUGACAGUACCGGGAGAAUAAGCGCCGGCUAACUCCGU
rnacentral:rRNA from 1 species